rnacentral:rRNA from 1 species
AACGUAGGAGACAAACGUUAUCCGGAGUUACUGGGCGUAAAGGGCGGUGUAGGUGGUUUUAUAAGUCUGGCGUGAAAUUUCUCGGCUUAACCGAGGCAGGUCGUCGGAUACUAUGAGACUAGAGGACGGUAGAGGCGUGUGGAAUUCCGGGUGUAGUGGUGAAAUGCGUAGAGAUCAGGAGGAACACCCGUGGCGAAGGCGGCCCUCCUGGCUCGACCCUGACGCUGAGAGGCGAAAGCGUGGGGAGCGAACGG